rnacentral:lncRNA from 1 species
GUUCGUGCAUUGUGCUGUGUAAAGCUACGCCGCAUUAUUUCUGUAUGUCCCACUCUGCAUGUCUAAGCCACUAUCGCUUGUACUAUUCUAUGUAUUAAAACUCAUUUCAACUUGGACCAGACUAGCCUCGCUCGAGUCCUCUGUAAGCCGGACCCGUUCAAAUCCUUUGUUCGCCCAGGCUGUGAAUCGUGCCGUGCAUACGCCACC